rnacentral:rRNA from 1 species
CUGUGACGGCGUGCCUUUUGUAGAAUGAGCCAGCGAGUUGCGGUUGGCGGCGAGGUUAAGGCGUGAACCGAGCCGCAGUGAAAGCGAGCCUUUAAGAUGGCGAUCAGUCGCCAGCCGCAGACGCGAAGCCGGGUGAUCUAUCCAUGGGCAGGCUGAGGCAGAGGUAAGACUCUGUGGAGGGCCGAACCCACUUCGGUUGAAAACGGAGGGGAUGACCCGUGGGUAGGGGUGAAAGGCCAAUCAAACCCGGAGAUAUCUCGUUCUCCCCGAAAUAGCUUUAGGGCUAGCCUCGAUCGCUUACCGACGGUGGUAGAGCACUGGAUCCGUGCGGGGGCCUCACCGCCUACCAACCGAAACCAAACUCCGAAUGCCGUCGGUCCCGAGAUCGGGAGUCAGAACAUGUGGGCUAAGCCGUGUGUUCGAGAGGGAAACAGCCCAGACCGCCUGCUAAGGUCCCCAAAUCAACGCUGAGUGGCAAAGGAUGUGCGUUUGCCUAGACAACCAGGAUGUUGGCUUAGAAGCAGCCAUGCAUUUAAAGAGUGCGUAACAGCUCACUGGUCAAGUGGACAUGCGCCGACAAUACACGGGGCUAAGCGUUGUACCGAAGCAGCGGACUGUUUUAUCAGUGGUAGGGGAGCUUUCCAUGCCGGGGCGAAGCCGACGGGCGACCGUCGGUGGACUGCAUGGAAGUGAGAAUGCUGGCAUGAGUAACGAGAGAGGGGCGAGAAACCCCUCCGCCGUAAGCCUAAGGGUUCCUGGGCAAGGCUAAUCCCCCCAGGGUCAGUCGGGAGCUAAGGCGAGGCCGACAGGCGUAGCCGAUGCACAACAGGCGGACAUUCCUGUACCACCGCGGAGCGUUACUACGACGGGGUGACGGAGAAGGGUAGCCGGGCGGGGUUCUGGACGUCCCCGUGAAAGCGCGUAGGCCGCAGGGCAGGCAAAUCCGCCCUGCAGCAGGCCGAGACGUUAGACGAAGCUUCAUGUGAAGCCGGCGAGCCCAUGCUUCCGAGAAAAACCUCUAAGGAGCGAGGCGGUGCCCGUACCAAAACCGACACAGGUAGGCGGGUAGAGCAUACCAAGGCGAUCGGGAGAACCAUGGUUAAGGAACUCGGCAUACUGACUCCGUAACUUCGGGAGAAGGAGUGCCCCCGCCUGUGAGGUCCCACGCGGACGGAGCGGGAGGGGGUCGCAGCGAAACGGCCCAAGCGACUGUUUACCAAAAACACAGGACUCUGCAAAGCCGCAAGGCGACGUAUAGGGUCUGACGCCUGCCCGGUGCUGGAAGGUUACGCGGAUGAGUUAGCGCAAGCGAAGCCCUGAAGCCAAGCCCCAGUAAACGGCGGCCGUAACUAUAACGGUCCUAAGGUAGCGAAAUUCCUUGUCGGGUAAGUUCCGACCUGCACGAAUGGCGUAACGACUUGGGCGCUGUCUCAACCAUGGACCCGGUGAAAUUGUAUUAUUCGUGAAGAUGCGAAUUACCUGCGGAAGGACGGAAAGACCCCGUGAACCUUUACUGCAGCUUGGCAUUGGCUGUUGGUGCGGUGCGUAGAGGAUAGGCAGGAGCCUGCGAACCGGGAACGCCAGUUCCCGGGGAGGCGCCCUUGGAAUACUGCCCUCACCGCAUCGGCAGCCUAACGCGCCGCCCUCAUCGGGGGCGCGGACCGUGCCAGGUGGGUAGUUUGACUGGGGCGGUCGCCUCCUAAACUGUAACGGAGGCGUGCGAAGGUUCGCUCAGGGCGGUUGGCAAUCGCCCGCAGAGCACAAGAGUACAAGCGAGCCUGACUGCGAGACCAACAAGUCGAGCAGAGACGAAAGUCGGUUCUAGUGAUCCGGCGGCCCAGCGUGGAAUGGCCGUCGCUCAACGGAUAAAAGGUACUCCGGGG